UUGCUAACUUUGGCGGCACAUAUACUAAAAUUAGAAUGGUACAGAGAAGAUUAGCAUGGCCCCUGCACAAGGAUGACAUGCAAAUUCGUGAAGCCUUCCAUAUUAAA